UAUGUGAUCGUCUCUCGCAUAUCAAUAAGCGGAGGAAAAGAAACUAACAAGGAUUCCCCUAGUAACGGCGAGUGAAGCGGGAAGAGCUCAAAUUUGAAAUCUUAAAGGGUUUCCCUUUACGAAUUGUAGUUUAAAGAAGUGUUUUCUGUUGAGGUUUUGGUAAAAGUUCUUUGGAAUAGGACAUCAUAGAGGGUGAGAAUCCCGUAUUUGACCUUUACUUUCAACUUUGUGAUACACUUUCAAAGAGUCGGAUUGUUUGGGAAUGCAGUCCAAAAUGGGUGGUAAAUUUCAUCUAAAGCUAAAUAUUGGCGAGAGACCGAUAGCGAACAAGUACCGUGAGGGAAAGAUGAAAAGAACUUUGAAAAGAGAGUUAAACAGUACGUGAAAUUGUCAAAAGGGAAGCGUUUGACACCAGUGUUGUUUUUCUGAAAAUCAAUUAAAGAACUGUUUAUGCUAAGCUGGUUAGGACUUUAUCAGCUAACUGUUUAGUUUUGAGCUUUUCUUUAAUGCACUUUUCAGUUAACAAGUCAACAUCAAUUUCUUUUGCUGUAAAAAAGCUUGAGGAAGGUGGCUUGAGAUUCGUCUUAAGUGUUUAUAGCCUCUUGCCUAUGCAGUCGGAGAGAUUGAGGUCUGCAGCGUAGAUCCUUCGGGGCUAAAUGCAUUCGUGCUAAGUUAUAGCAUUUUAUAGACAACUUGUUGACUAUGAUUUGUCUUGUAGCUUACUCGCUUAUGUUAUUUUACCUACGCUUAGGAUGUUGACACACGCGCGUGCUCG
rnacentral:rRNA from 1 species